AACAAGGCGUACCUGCGGACCUGCGGAAGGAUCAUUAAAAAGAGUGUGUACCCCUCUGUAAAAUGAGUGGGUUACCUCCCGUCCUUUGUUGACCUCUUAGGAGGUUAUUUUGAACUUUCUGCUUCGGUGGGGUUAAACCUACCGGAACACCCUCAAAUUCUUAUCAUUUAAAAAUUGUUCAGUCUGAUUUUUGUUAAUAAAAACAAAAAACUUUUAACAAUGGAUCUCAGAUCGGAAGAG
rnacentral:misc_RNA from 1 species